AUUGAACGCUGGCGGCAGGCCUAACACAUGCAAGUCGAACGAGUGGCGGACGGGUGAGUAAUGUCUGGGAAACUGCCCGAUGGAGGGGGAUAACUACUGGAAACGGUAGCUAAUACCGCAUACCAUCGGAUGUGCCCAGGUGGGAUUAGCUAGUAGGUGGGGUAACGGCGCACCGAGCCGACGAUCCCUAGCUGGUCUGAGAGGAUGACCAGCCACACUUGAACUGAGACACGGCCCAGACUCCUACGGGAGGCAGCAGGGGGGAAUAUUGCGCAAGGGGCGCAAGCCGGAUGCAGCCAUGCCGCGUGAAUGAAGAAGGCCUUCGGGUUGUAAAGUACUGUCAGCGAGGAGGCGUUACUCGCAGAAGAAGCACCGGCUAACUCCGUGCCAGCAGCCGCGGUAAUAC
rnacentral:rRNA from 1 species